rnacentral:rRNA from 1 species
AAACUUUCAACAACGGAUCUCUUGGUUCUCGCA